rnacentral:lncRNA from 13 species
AGGAUCUUCAAAAGUUUAUUUAAAUAACGCUUAACAGACACAGUUAUGGCUAAAUGUGCAUUUCAAUGUUAUUAUCUCUCUUCUUUCAACCCCGUGUAGACUUCUUUUGUUUUUUUUUUUUUUUUUGAGACGGAGUGUCGCCCUUGUUACCCAGGCUGGAGUGCAGUGGCGUGAUCUCAGCUCACCGCAGCAUCCGCCUCCGGGGAUUAAGCAAUUCUCCCACCUCAGCCUCCCGAGUAGCUGGGACUACAGGCACGCGCCACCAUACCCAGCUAAUUUUUAUAUUUUUAGUAGAGACGGGGUUUCACCAUGUUGACCAGGAUGGUCUCGAUCUCUUGACCUUGUGAUCCACCUGCCUCGGCCUCCCAGAGUGCUGGGAUUACAGGCGUGAGCCACCGCGCCCAGCCCUGUGUAGACUUCUAUCAGCAACCCAUACUAGCAUUCAUUAAUUUCGGGUUAAUGUGUCUUCUCUAAACAAUAUCUUGUUUAAAAUGCAGCCACUGAAAACAAUUACUCUGCCAAGACUGGAGGAUCAGCUAGGCCGCCUUUUCAGAGGCCUUCGGGGAGGAAAUUUCACCUGCUGCACUGAGACGGCCUGGCCUCUCCAGCCGCUCCUCCGCUUGGUUUAUCUGCCCCUCCCGGAGAACCCCGGAGCCCAGGACCGCCCAGCACAGCUUAGGGUCGUUAGAAUAACUCUUUCAACGAAUGGCCAGUCAGAAAAUCUUCACAUCCACCUGUGACCUGAAUCCGUCCACCUCCUCGAGCUGUUCUGCCUUACCAGACCGGACCAGUGUGCAUGCUACAUGUAUCAAUUGAGUUCAUGUCUCUCUAAAAUGCGUAAAACCAAGCUGGGGGCCAGGCGCAGUGGCUCAUGCCUGUAAUCCCAGCACUUUGGGAGGCUGAGGCUGGUGGAUCAUGAGGUCAGGAGUUCACGACCAGCCUGGCCAAGAGACAAGCCUGGCCAAUACAAUGAAACCCCAUCUCUACUAAAAAUACAAAAAUUAGCCAGGCGCGGUGGUGAGCGCCUGUAAUCCCAGCUUCUUGGGUGUCUGAGGCAUGGAGGGCGGAGGAUGCGGUGAGCUGAGAUCUUGCCAUUGCAUUCCACCCUGGGCGACAAAACAAGACUCUGUCUCAAAAAAAUAAUAAAAAUUAAAAAAUAAAUAAACUUUCUAGGCCG